rnacentral:tRNA from 1 species
AGGAUUAUAGUUAACUAUAACAUCUGGGUUGCAUUCAGAAAGUGUCUUUAGACUUUUCUU